rnacentral:rRNA from 1 species
AUGAACGCUGGCAGUGUGCCUAAGGUAUGCAAGUUGUGCGGUAAGGUUCUGCACUCAGUAUUUGAACCAGACAAGUCCGGCCUUCUGUUAAGGAGACGGAUACUAUCUGAGCGAUACUCUCUGGCUAGAGGGUAUAGUCGAAUAAUGAGCGUAGAACACACGAGCGGCGGACGGCUGAGUAACGCGUAGGAAGGUACCCCGGAGUGAGGGAUAAGCCAUCGAAAGAUGGUCUAAUACCGCAUAGUCUCCAAGGAGUAAAGCUUCGGCCGCUCCGGAACAGCCUGCCGUCUGAUUAGCUUGUUGGUGAGGUAACGGCUCACCAAGGCGGACGAUCAGUAGCUGGUUUGAGAGGAUGAUCAGCCAGACUGGGACUGAGACACGGCCCAGACCCCUACGGGGGGCAGCAACUAGGAAUCUUGCGCAAUGGACGAAAGUCUGACGCAGCAACACCGCGGUAGGAUGAAGGCCCUCGGGUCGUAAACUACUUUUAUCUGUGACGAUUAUGACGGUAGCAGAAAGAAUAAGGAUCGGCUAACUCCGUGCGCAGCCGCGGUCAUACGGAGGAUCCAAGCGUUAUCCGAAAUUACUGGGCGUAAAGAGUUGCGUAGGUGGCAUAGUAAGCAGGGUAUGAAAGCGUGUGGGCUCAACCAUACAGCUAUAUUCUGAACUGCUAAGCUAGAGGGCGAGAGAGGUAGCUGGAAUUUCUUGUGUAGGAGUGAAAUCCGUAGAUAUAAGAAGGAACACCGAUGGCGUAGGCAGGCUACUGGCUCGUCCCUGACACUAAGGCACCGAAAGCGUGGGAGCGACCGGGAUUAGAUACCCGUUAGUCCACGCCGUAACGAUGGAUGCUAGCUGUGUUUGCGUAUCGACCCGCGACUUAGCGAAGCUAACGCGUUAAAGCAUCCGCCUGUGGAGUACGAGCGCAAGCUUAAAACAUAAAGGAAUUGACGGGGACCCGCACAAGCGGUUGGCAGCGUGUUCUUUAAUUCGAUGGUAAGCGAAGAACCUUACCAGGGUUUUUGACAUCCUACUAAUUUCUCCGAAAGGAGAGAGUGUCUCGGACCGUAGUGACAGGUGUUGCAUGGCCGUCGUCAGCUCGUGUCGUGAGAUGUUUGGUUAAGUCCAUCACGAGCGCAACCCUUUUAGCCAGUUUGGAUUUUUCUGGCUAGACUGCCCCGUAACGGGGAGGAAGGAGGGGUCGAAGUCAGGUCAGUAUUACCCUUACACCCUGGCUAGAAACACGCUACAAUGGCCGGUACAAAGGGCAGCCAAGUCGCGAGACGAGCAAUCCCAUCAACAGCCGGUCUCAGUUCGGAUAGCAGGCUGAAACCCGCCUGCUUGAAGUUGGAAUCGCUAGUAACGGUAGGUCUGCACACUACCGUGAAUACGUUCCCGGGUCUUGUACACACCGCCCGUCAAACCAUGAAAGUCACCAAUACCUGACGUCCUAGCUGUCUAGGCCUAAGGUAGGGGGAUGAUUGGGGUU